UCCAACUAAAAACAAAAAACAAAAUACGAUACGCCCAAAUAAAGAAUCGCAAAAUUGAAGGCAAAAUAUAUCGGGGUACACCGCUGAAUACGCGACAGACAGUAUUUUAUGGAUUAUUCAGAAUGGUAUUGGAGUAGCUAUAUUACAGGUCUAAUUAUUGUAUACUCUCUUAAUUCUUAAGAUUGAAAAUUUCAAUCUCUGAAGCGAUUGAUUUUUUUCCCAAUCUUAUAGAUUGAAUUUAGAUUGAAAACGAUCACGGAUAACGCCUUGCGCCGAAUUUACGAGUCAAUCGUGGAAAAGAUUGAAAGCAGUUUCAAUCUAUUAUGAUGAUUGAAAACUUGAACCAAUCAAAAAGCUGCAUUAUUAUGAUCGCGCAUGCGCAUUUUGACAAUGCUCAAACCGCCUCGUUGUCAUGUCUGCCAUCUUUGUUGGUCGGUGUACCGAUGUUUCGCGAACAAGAAUCAGCUUUUUCAAACAAUUUUCAGCCCAGGCUGAUUGGUGACCAUUCCUCCAUGACCUGGAUGAUUUUUAUCAUCGUGAAGACAACAUGUUAAUUAUGUGGAGGUCCAGCCAAGUUCAGAGAGCUGUUCAGUGUGUUCAGACCAGUAAAUUCAAGGUGUCCCAAACAGAAGGUCAGAGACAACCUUCAGUGGCGGAGCACCAUUACAGGGAUGUCACCCAAGAACAGCCUGGAACAAGUGUUCAGUCAAACAUCCAGCCAAGAUUUGUAUACGUUUUGUAGAUGUAAACAAUAGAAUCAAAUUUAUCUCCACCUUGAAUUGCCUGAGUGUACACAGCCUGUGUGAGGAGCAUUAUGGAGUAUAUGAACAGAGCUCCCCUUGUAUGUUCUCCGGUCCCUCGAUGCACUGCAGAGGAAAUGUCUCAGAAUGUUCCCUGACAUCCCCCUGGAGCCUUUGCAACUCCGAUGUGACUUUGCUGGCCUCUCCAUUAUACACCAGGCAGCAAAAUGUCCCACCCUUGCGGCGAGAAACACCAACCUCCGAUACCCACAAGAUUGCUGCGUUGCUGUGUACGCCAUGUGGUACCCAGAACUGCACGUCAUCAGCGACCUUUCACACCGUACUAUACCAGACUCUGGAAUUCUCUCCUUGAGACUAUCGUUGGGAUCAAGAGUCAAUUCAGGGAAUCCCUCACAAGUUAUCUUUUUAACUAAGUGUGAGACUCAUUUUGAGUGUCACCCCAACUACAUGUGUCUCUGGCAUACACAUAAAAAAACUAUAGGAAUCAUCCUAUUUCCUUGUGGAAAAUUUAAAAAUUCUAACAAUGUUAUUGUUACUGCAAUAAUUAAGGAAACUCAGUGCUUUUUAAUUCCCCUGAACUUAGUGCAUUUUUUUAUUUAAUGCAUUCCUUGAACUUAAUGCAUCACUUGAACUUAAUGCAUUCCUCGGAACCUCAUGCAUUCAUUAAACUUAAUGAAUUAAUUGAAUUUAAUGAAUUCAUUGAAUUUAAUGCAUUCAUUGAGCUAAAUGAAUUCCUUGGAUUUAAUGCAUUCCUCGAAUUUUAUGCAUUCCUAGAAUGUUAUGCAUUCCUUGAACUUCAUGUUUUGUAUUUAUUUUAACUAAAUGAAUUCCUUGGAUUUAAUGCAUUCCUCGAAUUUAACGUAUUCCUCGAAUCUAAUGCAUUCCUUGAACUUAAUGCCUUCCUUCAAUUUCAUUGUUUAUAUAACUGAACUUAUUGCAUUCCUUGAAUUAAUGCAUUCAUUGAACUUAAUGUAUUACCUGUAUUGAACUUAAUGCAUUCGUUGAACUUGCAUUCCUUGAACUUAAUGCAUUCCUUGAAAUUGCAUUCCUUGCACUUAAUGGAGUCCUUGAACUUAAUGGAGUCCUUAAACUAAAUGUAUUACUUUAAUUGAAUGUAUUACCAUGUACAUGUAUUGAAUUAAAGCAGCAAUGUAUUAAAGUAAAGACAGAAAAGGAUUGUG